AACGAACGCUGGCGGCAUGCCUAACACAUGCAAGUCGAACGAGACCUUCGGGUCUAGUGGCGCACGGGUGAGUAACGCGUGGGAACCUGCCCUUAGGCUCGGAAUAACUCCCCGAAAGGGGUGCUAAUACCGGAUAAUGUCUUCGGACCAAAGAUUUAUCGCCUUUGGAUGGGCCCGCGUUGGAUUAGCUAGUUGGUAGGGUAAAAGCCUACCAAGGCGACGAUCCAUAGCUGGUCUGAGAGGAUGAUCAGCCACACUGGGACUGAGACACGGCCCAGACUCCUACGGGAGGCAGCAGUGGGGAAUAUUGGACAAUGGGCGAAAGCCUGAUCCAGCAAUGCCGCGUGAGUGAUGAAGGCCUUAGGGUUGUAAAGCUCUUUUACCCGGGAUGAUAAUGACAGUACCGGGAGAAUAAGCUCCGGCUAACUCCGUG
rnacentral:rRNA from 1 species